GAUAACCUCUAGAUAAGCAGUAUGUUAAUUUCUCACGGUUGUCUAAUACAGUUGGAGACUUUAUAAGUUUCUAACAGCAAAAAGUUACACUUGGCAUUGUUAUUUAUACCAGGCGUAUCAUAAAACAAGGAAUAAAACAAAUGAGGUUAGCUAAAGUGAUUUUCCAACAGAAAUAUAUCUAUACUGGCAAGUCUAAAAAUGUCCCUUGAUCUCAUUUCUCCUCUCCCUUGUUUCCUCCCUCUCUCCCCUCCUUGCUCCCUUCUUCCCCAUAUAUGCAGAGAAGAGGAUUAUACUGGCAAAUAUUCCAAGAGCCGACCUUGCCUGAGAUGAGCUGACAAUAAAACCUCACUGCAGGGGAAGACAACUCCAAACAGGCAACUUUGAAGGCUGCACUCCACUCACAGGAGGGCAUCAAGGGUCUUUCUGCUGAAGACAAUAAAGGUGGUGACGCUGAAUGGAUUUGACAAUGAAGUAGAGUUGCAACAUGAGCAACUCCUGAAGUUAGGCCACCUUUGAACACUGAUAGAGGCAGCAGUAGAGGAAAAAUCCUUGAAGCAGUUAAGAACAAGCCAGAGAAACUCAGCCUGCACCUUGUCUCCUGAAACCACCUCAGCUCUGGAGCACCAAGACACCAACAGAGCCUCAAGUGUCUGAGUCGGAAGGGCAGCUGGGUCAGCAUUGGCAUCCCUCACCUCAGAGCUGCUGAACUGAACACCCUCACACGAGUCUUUUCCUCUGGGAGGUGAUGAAAAAGCAGUGAGCACAGCCCUUGAUGUCCAGACUCCUCAACAGACCUUGGAUCACACUUCACCUUCCAGGCUGGAUGCUCUUGUUGCACGAGGAUUUCCUGAAGGAAUUUCUGGACAAUCUGGGGGUAGGAAAAAGGACGGUGCUGAUUUUGCUGUUACAUCAAAUCACUUGGCAGUGAAACAUCUGGCCUGAAGACACAAGCUGCUCUCCACAGUGAGCACGGAGUGAUGGCCAGAUGGAAAUGUGCCACCUUCCCGUGUCCCCUGCACAUUCAGGGAAUGGCACGGCAAUUGCAGCCAGGCGUAAUUCCUGCCUGGAAUUCCUACUUGCCUGGAAUUCUUACCUGUGAUUUGUACCUGCCUGUGAGUCCUGCCUGUAAUCCCUGCCUGUGAUUCCUACCUGUGAUUCCUACCUUUACUCUUUCCUACCUGCCUGUAAUUCCUACCUGUGAUUCCUGCCUGUAAUUCCUACCUACCUGAAAUUCCUGCCUGUGAUUCAUACCUGUAAUUCCUGCCUGUGAUUCCUACCAGCCUGUAAUUCCUACCUGCCUGUAAUUCCUGACUGCCUGUAAUUCCUGCCUGUGAUUCC